GUCAGGUGGAACCUGUUGCCUGGAAGAACAAGCUUGUCUGGCCCAAGACCUGACACAAGCAGAGCAGGGAGAAGAGCCAGCAGCCAGACCAGCAGCCAUGCAGAGGAGACUGGGGGCUCUGCUGGGGCUUCUGUGGGUGCAGCUUUGCUGGGUGAGAGGGCAGCAGGUGGAGCAGAGUCCUUCAGCCCUGAGGCUCCAGGAGGGAGCCAGCUGUACUCUGAGGUGCAAUUUUUCCACCACCAUUUACAGAGUGCAGUGGUUCCGACAGAAACCUGAUGGUGGCCUCAUCAGUCUGUUUUUCCUGGCUUCAGGGACAAAGCAGGAGGGAAGGUUACAGGCAACAGCGGAUGCUAAGGAGCGCUACAGCACCCUGCACAUCUCCUCCUCCCAGCAGGAAGACUCAGGCACCUACCUCUGUGCAGCAGGGCACAGUGCUCCCAGGGGACCUGCGGCCUGUCCCCAAACUACAGCUGCACCUGCAGCCACUGUCUCUGCCUCAGGGAGGACUUGCAUGGCAGUGUCUGAUUAGCUAUGGGUGUCCUGAUUCACACUGUAGCCCUGUCACUGCUGGUAGCAGGAGAAUUCUUAUCACUGUCAUCCCAGUUUUGUUGAUCCUUUUCUCCCAGAACCCCUUUGAUGGAAACAUUUCUAAUAAGGAAGCAUUGGGAGCAACUGAUAAGAAUGUCAGGGCUCCCAAUACUGUGAAAACAGGUCCCCUGGCUGAGCUUAUAAAUGGUAUCUAAA